CACGUUGCAGGGUCACUGCUCACAGCAAAGCUGCAGCACUGCUCCAAGAGGUAUGCUGGCAGUAGGGAGAAGGGAAGGCAGGACAAGAAGCUGACCACAAGAGUGCACUCACGGAAUGAUGUCCUGCAUUGUUUCCUCUGGGUCAUUUCCUUUCCCUCAGCUCUGGAAGCAGCUUGCAGCAUGUGGAGGUCGGGGGGGUCAGACCUGGGCCCACGUGUUGUUUCUCUGGACAUAUAGAUGCCGUGUCCCCCAGGGAGGAAGACGCUGCAGCUGUACAUUGAGUGGGACAUACUUGCAUGAUGAGUACACAGACACGUCACCAGGGACACACGCUGGGGGUACAUCUGAGUGGCACAGGCUUUGCCCACAGGCUGUGCUUGAUGUUGGUAAUGAUUUUCUUCCUUAUAAGGGAUGGCUAUACCUAAAGAGUAUAUCGGAGAUUCUCCCACAGUUUUGUCUUCCUAUAUAAUUGGGUUUUGGGGUUUUUUCCUUCCCUUUUUCCCGUUCCAGUGCUUCUCAACUUCUUUCUGUGACCUUCUAACACCACAGAUCAUUUGUCAAGCAGCCAGUAAUGGCUAAACAGAGGCCCAUUGUAGCAGGCACUUGCAACAAUUUGUUAACAAUAAAUAUGAUGUGAUUAGUAAA